UACGGGGGGGGCAAGCGUUGUUCGGAAUUACUGGGCGUAAAGGGCUCGUAGGCGGCCAACUAAGUCGGACGUGAAAUCCCCAGGCUCAACCUGGGAACUGCGUCCGAUACUGGAUGGCUUGAAUCCGGGAGAGGUGAGUGGAACUCCGAGUGUAGAGGUGAAAUUCGUAGAUAUUCGGAAGAACACCAGUGGCGAAGGCGGCUCACUGGCCCGGUACUGACGCUGAGGUGCGAAAGCGUGGGGAGCGAACAGG
rnacentral:rRNA from 1 species